GGAGGAAACCUGCUCAGCCUCAGGCCACAGGGAGCAUAAUUGGGGUGCCUCCACCAUGGCCUGGACCCCUCUCCUCCUCGGCCUCCUCGCUCACUGCACAGGGUCUGUGGCCUCCUAUGAGCUGACUCAGCCCUCCUCCGUGUCGGUGACCCCAGGACAGACGGCCAGGAUCACCUGUGGAGGAAACAACAUUGGAAGUAAAAAUGCUUACUGGUACCAGCAGAAGCCAGGCCGGGCCCCUGUGCUGGUCAUCUAUUAUAGCAGCAGCCGGCCCUCAGGGAUCCCUGACCGAUUCUCUGGCUCCAACUCGGGGAACACGGCCACCCUGACCAUCAGUGGUGCCCGGGCUGAGGACGAGGCUGACUAUUACUGUGCAGUAGCUGAUGGCAGUGGGAGCAGCUGGCAGUGAUCACGGUGACACAGACAGAUGAGG